ACCCAGACUCCUACGGGAGGCAGCAGUGGGGGAUAUUGCACAAUGGGGGAAACCCUGAUGCAGCGACGCCGCGUGUGGGAAGACGGUCCUCUGGAUUGUAAACCACUGUCCCCAGGGACGAAAAUGACGGUACCUGGGGAGGAAGCUCCGGCUAACUGCGUGCCAGCAGCCGCGGUAAUACGUAGGGGGCAAGCGUUAUCCGGAUUUACUGGGUGUAAAGGGAGCGUAGACGGUCCUGCAAGCCAGAUGUGAAAGCCCGGGGCUCAACCCCGGGACUGCAUUUGAAACUGUCAGGCUGGAGUGCAGGAGAGGUAAGUGGAAUUCCUAGUGUAGCGGUGAAAUGCGUAGAUAUUAGGAGGAACACCAGUGGCGAAGGCGGCCUACUGGACUGUAACUGACGUUGAGGCUCGAAAGCGUGGGGAGCAAACAGGAUUAGAUACCCGUGUAUC
rnacentral:rRNA from 1 species